AUGAACGCUAGCGACAGGCCUACACAUGCAAGUCAGGGGCAGCACAAGGAGCAAUCUGAGGUGGCGACCGGCGCACGGGUGAGUAACACGUAUGCAACCUGCCUGUAAGCGGGGAAUAACCCGUUGAAAGACGGACUAAUACCGCAUAAUACUAAAUUACUGCAUGGUAAUUUAUUUAAACAUUUAUGGCUUACAGAUGGGCAUGCGCAUGAUUAGCUAGUUGGAGAGGUAACGGCUCCCCAAGGCAACGAUCAUUAGGGGUUCUGAGAGGAAGGUCCCCCACACUGGUACUGAGACACGGACCAGACUCCUACGGGAGGCAGCAGUGAGGAAUAUUGGUCAAUGGACGAGAGUCUGAACCAGCCAAGUCGCGUGCAGGAAGAAUGUCCUAAUGGAUUGUAAACUGCUUUUGCAGGGGAAUAAAGUGCAUCACGUGUGAUGUUUUGUAUGUACUCUGCGAAUAAGGAUCGGCUAACUCCGUGCCAGCAGCGGC
rnacentral:rRNA from 1 species